ACGGGGUGCAGCAGGCGCGAAAACUCCGCAAUGCGCGCAAGCGUGACGGGGGGAUCCCAAGUGCCGUUGGUCUUUUGAUCGACGGCUUUUCGGAAGUCUAAGAAGCUUCCGGAAUAAGGGCUGGGUAAGACUGGUGCCAGCCGCCGCGGUAACACCAGCAGCCCAAGUGGUGACCACGAUUAUUGGGCCUAAAGCGCUCGUAGCCGGGUCAGCAAGUCCCUUGUGAAAUCGGGCCGCCUAACGGUUCGGCGUGCAAGGGGUACUGUUGGUCUUGAGGCCGGGAGAGGUCGGAGGUACUCCUGGGGUAGCGGUGAAAUGCUCUAAUCCUGGGGGGACCACCAGUGGCGAAGGCGUCCGACCAGAACGGACCUGACGGUGAGGGGCGAAGGCUAGGGGAGCGAACGGGAUUAGAUACCCCGGUAGUCCUAGCUGUAAAGCAUGCGGGCCAGGUGUCUAGUGCUCCUCGAGGGCACUAGGUGCCGGAGGGAAGCCGUUAAGCCCGCCGCCUGGGAAGUACGGCCGCAAG
rnacentral:rRNA from 1 species